rfam:Capsicum annuum cultivar Zunla-1 chromosome 9, whole genome shotgun sequence
GGCCGCCUUGAAGUACAAUUUCCACCGAGUGGUGGGUAGAAUCCUUUGCAGACGACUUAAAUACGGGACGUGGCGGUCGACGGCAAUGUUAGAAAGUCCGUAGACGUCGUCGGGAGCCUCGGAAAGAGUUAUCUUUUCUGUUUAACAGUGUGCCCACCCUGGAAUUGGAUCAACCGGAGGUAGGGUCCAGCGGCUGGAAGAGCACAGCGCGUCGCGUGGUGUUCGGUGCGCUCCAGGAGGCCCUUGGAAAUCCGGAGGACCAAAUGUCGUCCACUCCCGGUUGUACUCAUAACCACAUCAGGUCUCCAAGGUGAACAGACUCUGGUC